CUGCAAUCUGGUGAAAUUGAAUAGUGCAACUUGAUUCUUGAGCAGUGGAAACAUGUUCUGUGAAGUGACAAAUUGAUCUUCUCUGUUUGACAGUCUGAUUGGCGAGUCUCGUUUUGGUUGAUAGGCCAGGAGAACCUGCCUGACUACUUUGUGCCAACUGUAACAUUUAGUGGAAAAGGGAUAAUGGGGGAGUUUUUUCAGGGGGUGGGCUAUGCCCCUUACUUCCAGUGAAGGACAAUCUUAAUGCUUCAGCAUACAAAGACAUUUUGAACAAUGCUAUGCUACCAGCUUUGUGUGAACAGUUUGGAGAAGGACCUUUUUUAUUCUAGCAUGAUUGUGCCCUGGGGACAAAGCAAGGUCCAUAAAUACAUGGCUAGAUUAGUUUGGUGUGGAAG